GCGCAGCUUACCAUGCAAGUCGAGCGGUAACAGGGGGUGCUUGCACCCCGCUGACGAGCGGCGGACGGGUGAGUAAUGCAUAGGAAUCUGCCCAGUAGUGGGGGAUAGCCCGGGGAAACCCGGAUUAAUACCGCAUACGCCCUUUGGGGGAAAGCAGGGGAUCUUCGGACCUUGCGCUAUUGGAUGAGCCUAUGUCGGAUUAGCUAGUUGGUGGGGUAAAGGCCUACCAAGGCGACGAUCCGUAGCUGGUCUGAGAGGAUGAUCAGCCACAUCGGGACUGAGACACGGCCCGAACUCCUACGGGAGGCAGCAGUGGGGAAUAUUGGACAAUGGGGGCAACCCUGAUCCAGCCAUGCCGCGUGUGUGAAGAAGGCUUUCGGGUUGUAAAGCACUUUCAGUGAGGAGGAAAACCUUCUGGUUAAUACCCAUGAGGCUUGACGUUACUCACAGAAGAAGCACCGGCUAACUCCGUGCCAGCAGCCGCGGUAAUACGGAGGGUGCAAGCGUUAAUCGGAAUUACUGGGCGUAAAGCGCGCGUAGGUGGUUUGAUAAGCGAGAUGUGAAAGCCCCGGGCUUAACCUGGGAACGGCAUUUCGAACUGUCAG
rnacentral:rRNA from 1 species